rnacentral:rRNA from 1 species
CCUACGGGUGGCAGCAGUGGGGGAUAUUGCACAAUGGGGGAAACCCUGAUGCAGCGACGCCGCGUGAGUGAAGAAGUAUUUCGGUACGUAAAGCUCUAUCAGCAGGGAAGAAAAUGACAGUACCUGACCAAGAAGCCCCGGCUAACUACGUGCCAGCAGCCGCGGUAAUACGUAGGGGGCAAGCGUUAUCCGGAUUUACUGGGUGUAAAGGGAGCGUAGACGGUUAUGUAAGUCUGGAGUGAAAGCCCGGGGCCCAACCCCGGGACUGCUUUGGAAACUGUGUAACUGGAGUGCAGGAGGGGCAAGCGGAAUUCCUGGUGUAGCGGUGAAAUGCGUAGAUAUCAGGAGGAACACCGGCGGCGAAGGCGGCCUGCUGGACUGAAACUGACGUUGAGGCUCGAAAGCGUGGGGAGCAAACAGGAUUAGAUACCCUAGUAGUC